GCUGGAGAGGGAGGCCUGCUCUAUGCUACUCCUCACCAAAAGAACUUGCUCGAUAGCAAUACAGGAAGUGCCACCAAAGUUCUUGACCAGAGGCCAUGUGUGGCUGGAAGCAUCUGCCUUUGGAGUGCAGAUGACUAGGAGACCACAACAGCCCUCAGGAGGGCCAAAGAUACCCUCCUGGGUGAAGAGUGGGGUUGAUGGUAUUCUUAUAGGAUAGAAGAGAUGUGAAUACAGACAGACAAAAGGACACAGACAGGGAUGGAGACAACGCAAAGUUGUCCAGUACGGUGUGUGCUUCUCAGCCCGAGUGUCCUGGAAAACUCAGAGAAGUGGGCUGUCGGAGGAAAGGUGAGGCAGGGAGGCUCUGAUCAAGCUAAGCAGAGCCUUUACUGUCAAGCUGACACAUUUCUGAUUCAUAUACUACUUUUUAUGUGUGAAUAAAUGAGUGACUAGAUGAUGUAAAAAUGAACAGUGGAUGAGCAAGAAGAAAGUUUGACUAAAUCUGUCCAAUCCAGUGAUGGCAGAGGCUGGGAAGAGUCUCCUUCCCAGGUGAGCUCUUUGCCUCAGUGCCACAGAGCCAAGAAGCCAUCUGUGAGCUGCAGUCAGAACGCUGGGAGAGGCAUGCCAGAGUUUCUGGGAGAAUGUCCACAGCCAUGUGAAGAUCUCUGCAUCUCUCUCUCACCGCCCAACAAAACAGUUUGGCCACUCAGGCUAAUAAGGUAACGUCUGAAGUUCCACAAUGGAGGCCUCAUCUCUUAGCCAGAAGCUGGAAUGACUGACAUCUGGUGCUGGGCCCUGUGACUGACAGGGCAUCUAGUGCUGGGUCCUGUGAUUGACAGGGCAUCCAGUGCUGGACACUGUGGCAAAGGGACAGGUUCCCUCAGGCCACUGGAGCCCACCUCAAGAGUCUCUUUGCCAGGGAAAUUCUCCAAUGAAGGUUUCUGGUUGUCCUUGAUGUAAGCUCACCGAUGGAUCUGGAGAGAAAUCUUCAUCCCUCUCUCCAGAAAUCAUCCCACCACUGAUGGCCUCAAGAAGCCCAGAUUCUGUAGAUGGGAGCAUUUGGAAGACUACAACCCCUCCUGGGCCAUCUGAAGAUUGCAUGGUUCUUCUGUGACUGGUGCUAAGAUCAUUUCCUAUGUGUAAGGAUAUUUCCACUGAGCAACAGAGACACCAACCUACCCACAACACUUUCAACUCAAAAUUUAUCCUGUCUACAAGAAAUACAGGCACCAGACGAUGGAGCAGAGACUGAGGGGAUGGCCAAUGAAUAACCAGCUCAACCUGAGACCUAUUCUAUGGGCAAGCAACCCCUAACACUAUUAAUGAUACUCUGUUACAUUUGUUGACAGAAGCACUUUGUACUUUCAGAGGCUCUACCCAGCACCUGACUCAGAAAGAUACAGAUACCCACAGCCAAACAGUGGAUAGAGAUUGGGGAUUCUUAUGGAAGAAGAAGAAGGAUUAGGAGGAAGGAUUGUGGCCCCUAAGGGAAUAGGAGCUCCACAGGAAGACCAGUAGAGUCAACUAAACUGGACCCUUGGAGCUCUCAGAGUCUGAGCCACCAACCAAAGAACAUACACAGGCUGGACCUAGGCCUCCCCAAACAUAUGUGGUAGAUGUGCAACUUGGUCUUCAUGUGGGUCCCGAACAACUAGAGUGGGGGCUAUUCCAAAGGCUGUUGCCUACAUGUGGGAUGUGUUCUACUAGCUGGGCUGCCUUGUCUGGCUUCUGUGGAGGCUUACAGAGACCUGAAGUGCCAGGGUGUGGGGGAGAUACCCAGGGGGGUCCCACAUCCUCAGAGGAGAAGGGGAAGGGUGAUGGGGAAAGAAUUGUGGGAGGAGGCUGCCAGGAGGGGGCAGUGAGUGGG
rnacentral:lncRNA from 1 species